GGGCAUUUCUAUUGGUAGCUUGACGUGCGGAAGGUCGGCGGUUCGAACCCGUCAAUGUCCACCA
rnacentral:tRNA from 1 species